AGAUUCCCAUGUGACCAAUGAAAGGAAACAGCCAUCUGGACGAGAAAUGAGAGGGGGAAAGAAAAAAUAAAUAAAUCCACAGGUAUAUUUAUUUGCAGAUCGAUAUUUGUGGAAGGAUAUUUUACACAGCAGAUCUGAAGUCCACACCUGAGACACUGAGGAAGAAGCUGGAUGUUGUUCUGUCACAGGAAAAGAACCCACAUGUACCACUUACACUUUGGAAAACAUCCAGAGCCUCAGUUUGCACAGAUCUAUUUUUACCAUCAGAAGUUCAAUAUGGAGAGCUCCAAUCGGAUCCCCAUCCAGCAGAUGAAGUGUGUUUUCACGCCAGCACAGUGAGCAGUCUGCUGCGAAGUGGAGGAUCUCCAACUAUCGAGCUAUCUGUGGCAAAUGGAAACUGGAAGCAGAGAUGAACCCAAGGGAUCUGCUGUGGCCCCAUGUACUCCACAGUGGGCCCCAUUAGAUGUGACAGGUGAUAAAGUGUGCAAAGAGCAAAAACAAACCACUCAGCAAAAGUUGGGAGACAUUGAUAAACGAAGUCGGGGCGAGCUCAUCAGGCGCGGAACCUGGGGGAAUUCUCCGGCAAAAUGCCACCUCGAUAUCUUGCUGAGCCAUCCAACCCAAUUAGGCCAGAGGAUGGGCUGCUUUGUGGAGUCUAACUUAGAUACAUCUUCUUCUUUUCAGUCAAAAGGGUUUGAAAAGCAAAAUGCCAAGUGUCUGCGGGGCCCCCGGUUUGGCUCCGCUGUUACUGAGCCUCGCGAGUGGAACAGGGGGUCGAAUUCUGAACUUUCGCAAGCUUAUCUCGAACAUAAUUGUCAAAAAGUUACCAUUUGUGUUGUUAGGGGGAGCCAACAGAACUGUCGUUUUAAAGCUGAGCAGAACUUUCUCUGCCAAACGUUUCUACAGGAACGUUUGUAGAAUAAAAAUGCUGAUUUAUUUACAGAAUUUAUGCAAUAAUUCUAUGAAAUAAAGCAAUGUCCAACGACUUUACACAUUU